GUCCAUACCAAGUUUUUUACAUCAAUGUUUACAUUCACAAUUUUUGAGAUCUCCGGGUGUGUCAUUUUCCUACAUACAUUUUCUAAGUUCUAAGUUCGUACGUCUGACCACUUCUACAUUUGUCCCUAACAUGGGGUAUUGUUGCUCGCUUGUCUAUCAUUAUCUGGCGAUCGACCCUGGGAGUCGAGUACGUCUAGUAGUUUAGCCGUCGGGUGUGUCUCCUGUUCCCCUCAUUUCCCACAGCCUCCAUGCUUCAACUGCUGUGUCUGUCAAGGGAAGGACCCCUCGGUAGCAGGUUUCAUAUAGGUGUUGUGUAUCAAUGUCCCUGCAGACCUCUGCCACCAGUGGUGGUCGUUGGGAUUUCCACAACCUAGCUAUUGCCCUCUGAGCUGUCAAGAGGAUGUGGAAGGCUAAUUUCUGUAUCCCUUUAGGUAUAUUGCUUGGCAUGUGUAGUAAGAGACUUGUUAUGGGUGUGGAGGGGAGUUUGGUGCCUGUUGCGGCUCGAAUCAGGCAGUGUAUGUUGCGCCAGAAGCUGGUGACUAGUUCACAUUGCCACCAUAUAUGAAGUACUGUACCCUCUCCCUUUCCACACCUCCAGCACUCCGGGGGUGAACCUGGGUAUAGUUUGUGUAAGCGAAUGGGGACCAUGUACCACCUAUAUAGGGUCUUCCUAUAUUGCUCCAAUAGCACCUCCGACUUAAUUAGUUUUUUGGUCGUCACUAUAGCCCGCUCCCACUGAUCUUUACUUAUGUGGCAUUGUAGGUCUUGUGCCCAGUGCUUGGCUGGAUUGGAAUCUGCAAAGUGUUGUGUGGGUCGGAUGAGUUGAUAACACCAGGAUAGUGGCUUAAAUGUCGGUGCCCAAGAACCUCUAGUGGUUGUUUGUUCCCAUUUCGUCAUACCGAGGGGGUUGUCAUCUGGGGCAGAGGACUGCCCUGCGUGUUUACGUAUGAAUGAGCUUAACUGUAUAUGGGAGAAUUGGGAGGCCUCUGGUAUGUGGAAUUCCUUUUGGAGAGUUGGGAAGGUUUUUAGUUUGUUAUGCGCAAGUAUUUGGUGCAAAUAUGUGACCCCUUUAGCUAUCCAUGGCUUGGCGUUGAAGGUUGGGAUGCAGUAUGUGAUAGUGUUGAGCGGGGUGGCUGGCGAUAGAGGGGUAGGUGUUACCAGUUUAUGUCUAAGCUUGUCCCAAGCCCUGACUGCUAUUUUUAGCUGCGUUGGCAUCUGUGGAGUAUCUGGUCGAAAUUUUUUAGGGAGCCACAUUAUGGUGGGUACAUCAAAGGGUUUUAUGGCCUGUUUUUCCAUUAGCACCCAUUGCGGUAAAGCCGUGUUUGUGAAGUGGGGAAGGGUUGUUGCUAAUAGCGCUGCUUGGUAGUAUGUCUUGAUGUCUGGUAAGGCAAGGCCACCCUGUCUCACCGGUGUUUGUAGCAGUAUUCUCUGCACUCAAGCUUUUUGGCCCCCCCACACAAAUCUAUUAACGUCUUUUUGUGUGUCUCUAAG